rnacentral:lncRNA from 1 species
AAAUUAGGGAUAUAAAAAAAGAGUACACCCGGUGAAUCGAAAACCCAAAAGGGCGGCUCAGGCAAAAAUGGGUAUCCCGGUGGAUUGAAAACCCGAAAAGGGGGCGAUCCAGGCAAAAGUUAGGGAAUAAGCGAAUGAUUGUGAUCUAAGUUCAUCAGUGUUAUAUCACCGUUUCAUUCAAUCCGGCAAUCUUCGAAGGUUAAAGAUC